GUGGGAGGGAGAGGUUCUCGACGUCCGGGAGUUAACUUAAGACACUAAAAGAUGGGAUUGGCGUUUAUUCUUGUACUUCUGUCUGUGGCUUUCUACGCUUCUGUCGUAGAGAUUGAAGGCACGAAUAGUUCGCUAAAACGGUACUCGGCAUGUUUUUGGUAUGUUGACGUUCCUGACGGCCAGGUAGCCAUGACGCUACAGAGAUGUUGCAGACGAGUUGCAUGCAACAAUGGUCGGGUGGAACAACGCCACAUUGGGGAACUUGAAGCCUACAAGUGUGAGUAUUUUUAAAGCUUGGGGAAGCUUGAGAUUUGACAUUUGCUGUAUUUGAUCAAAUUUUAUGAAUUGUCUACUUCCUAGGGAAGUGGGGGAAAAUUAAUUCUUUUGAAAUUGUUUUUAGCUCGUUACAGCGGACACUGGCUAGUUUGUGCACUCCCUUGUUCGUCCUGGGAGAGCCAAUC